rnacentral:rRNA from 1 species
CACGUAGGCACCAAGCGUUGUCCGGAUUUAUUGGGCGUAAAGAGCUCGUAGGCGGUUCGAUAAGUCGGGUGUGAAAACUUUGGGCUCAACCCAAAGCGUGCAUUCGAUACUGUUGUGACUAGAGUUCGGUAGGGGAGUGGGGAAUUCCUAGUGUAGCGGUGAAAUGCGCAGAUAUUAGGAGGAACACCGGUGGCGAAGGCGCCAACUCUGGGCCGAAACUGACGCUGGGGAGCGAAAGCGU